GUCUACAGCGCUGGCACUCUGAAUGCGCCUGACUCUUGUCUGAUCUCAGCAGCUAAGCAGGGUCAGGCCUGGUUAGUCCUUGGAUGGGACAAAGUUAGAGCUGGAAGAAAUGGGGACU
rnacentral:rRNA from 1 species